rnacentral:rRNA from 1 species
AUUGAACGCUGGCGGCAGGCCUAACACAUGCAAGUCGAACGAGUGGCGGACGGGUGAGUAAUGUCUGGGAAACUGCCUGAUGGAGGGGGAUAACUACUGGAAACGGUAGCUAAUACCGCAUACCAUCGGAUGUGCCCAGAUGGGGUUAGCUUGUUGGUGGGGUAACGGCUCACCAAGGCGACGAUCCCUAGCGGGUCUGAGAGGAUGACCAGCCAUACUGGAACUGAGAAACGGUCCAGCCUCCUACGGGAGGCAGAAGUGGGGAAGAUGGCACAAUGGGCGCAAGCCUGAUGCAGCGAUGCCGCGUGUAUGAAGAGGGCCUUCGGGUUGUAAAGUACUUUCAGCGGGGAGGCGUUACCCGCAGAAGAAGCACCGGCUAACUCCGUGCCAGCAGCCGCGGUAAUAC